CCUACGGGAGGCAGCAGUGGGGAAUAUUGCACAAUGGGCGGAAGCCUGAUGCAGCAACGCCGCGUGCGGGAUGACGGCCUUCGGGUUGUAAACCGCUUUCGCCUGUGACGAAGCGUGAGUGACGGUAAUGGGUAAAGAAGCACCGGCUAACUACGUGCCAGCAGCCGCGGUGAUACGUAGGGUGCGAGCGUUGUCCGGAUUUAUUGGGCGUAAAGGGCUCGUAGGUGGUUGAUCGCGUCGGAAGUGUAAUCUUGGGGCUUAACCCUGAGCGUGCUUUCGAUACGGGUUGACUUGAGGAAGGUAGGGGAG
rnacentral:rRNA from 1 species